AAAGUCACAUAAUCUCUGCAUUAUUGCCAAGUCUAAUUUGAUAUGCUACUUUAAAAAUCAUGUUUAAUAUGAUUAUUAGUAUCGUAAUAUAAAUAAUUUCAUUUAAUUAUUAAUUACUGAGAAUAAUUUUAAUAUUAUUAUUAGUAAUAAUAUAUUGUUAUUUUGAUAGUUAAUAUUAUAUUAAUACGAUCUUUAUUAUUUUUUCACACAAAUUGCAUGAUCCUCGAAAUUUUAAAUCUUUAUUUCAAUGUGUUGAAUGAUUUUAUUAGACCAUGAUUAUUAUUAUUAUAUUUGUUGAUUGUGAUUUAGGGAUGAGGCUUUAGUAGAACAUGCCCCCUGAUGGGUUACAUCAGGACUGUGUGCGCACCGGUAAUGAUUAAAGACAGUUAACGAGGUUAUUAUGGAUUUUUGCCCUGGUCGAGCAUUGCUCUCUGGGCUGAGUAGAGUUGAUUGUCGGAGGUAAGGCCUUGGUCGACCGAUGCUCUCUGGGCGUCGGCUUGGUUAGAAAUUAAGUGUUCAGGCUGGAGGUAAGGACCCUGGUCGAGGUUUGCUCUCUGGGCCAGACCUGUUGGAUUAAAAGAGCCGAAAGGCUACUAGUAAUUGGAGUUAAGGUUCUACUGAGCCACUCGUCCUGCAAAUGUGACAGUUAGAGUUCCUCGUCAUCCUGCAUUUUGACAGUCUGACUUCUUCUCCUUCGGACUUUUUUGUAAAUAACUUGUACUUCAUACUUUUGUUAUUGUUUACUCUAGACUGCCCGCAGUAGAGAACUUUUAAUUUUGUUGUGAUUAUUCUGGUCCAUAUUGGACGUGGGAUGUUAUAAAGACCUGAUAGAAUUACUUAUGAAAUGUCAGUCAUGAUUAAUUA